GUGCUCACUUCGGCAGCACAUAUACUAAAAUUGGAAUGAUACAGAGAAAAUUAGUAUGGACCCGACACAAAGAUGACAUGCAAAUUCAUGAAGCAUUCCAUUUAAAA